CCCCCCCCCCCCCUCCCUCCACCCAGUGCUAGCUGACAUGGUCGGAGGGCGUGACGGAUGACCGGGCGUCGGAGUCCAGGUGUUCUCCGAUCGAUCUGGUGCCAGAGAGGCUGAAAGUCUGCUCCACCCGCCCCCCCCCCGCCCCCAGAACAUGGAGCCUGACGCAGAGGUCCCGUUAUUUGAGAUGGAUGAGGAAGAGGAUGAGGAAGAGGAUGUUCUUUCAAUGAAGAGCACAGGCCGUGCUCUUGCGCCCCCUGCAGGCGUCGACGGUGACGCGUUGGUGUACAUGAACUUCAUGAAGAGUCACUGCUGCUACGACGCCAUGCCCACCAGCUCCAAACUGGUCAUCUUUGACACCACGCUGCAGGUGAAGAAGGCCUUCUUUGCCCUGGUGGCGAACGGCGUGAGGGCCGCCCCCCUGUGGGACAACAAGCUCAAGUGUUUUGUGGGUAUGCUGACCAUCACUGACUUCAUCAACAUUCUCCAUCGGUACUACAAGUCUCCGCUGGUUCAGAUCUAUGAGCUGGAAGAACACAAGAUCGAGACAUGGAGAGAGAUCUAUCUGCAGUACUCCAUCAACAGACUGAUCAGCAUCACUCCGGACUGCAGUCUGUUUGACGCCAUCUACUCCUUGUUGAAGAAUAAGAUCCACCGGCUGCCGGUGAUCGACCCGGCGUCAGGAAACGUGCUGCACAUCCUCACGCACAAACGCAUCCUCAAGUUCCUCCACAUCUUCAGGUCAAAGAUCCCGAAGCCCGACUUUCUUCAGAAGCGCAUCAACCAGGUGUCGAUCGGUACCUUCACGCAGAUCGCCACGGUGCAGGAAACGGCGUCCGUCUUCGACGCUCUGACCAUCUUCGUGGAGCGGCGCGUGUCCGCUCUGCCCGUGGUCAGCGAGCGAGGUAAAGUGGUGGCGCUGUACUCCAGGUUCGACGUCAUAAACCUGGCCGCCCAGAAGAACUACAACAACCUGAACAUGACGAUGCGGGAGGCCGUCUCCUCCAGAGCCUGCUGCAUGGAGGGCGUCCUCAAGUGCUACCCGCACGAGACGCUGGAGACCAUCAUCGACCGCAUCGCCAAGGCCGAGGUGCAUCGGUUGGUUCUGGUGGACGCUGACGAUGUGGUGAGAGGCAUCGUGUCCCUUUCUGACCUCCUCCAAGCCUUGGUUCUCACCCCUGCAGGUAUUGAUGCUCUGUGCUCCUGACUCCAACACUUCACCUCCUGCUCUUUGUCCGUGUGAGCUCCUCCUCCUCCUCCUCCUCCUCCUGUGAAAACUCGUGUUCCAGAGGCUCAUCCUCCUGAAGACCUUUCCUCCCGCUUAACGUUAGGUUUCCUCGUUAGACAGGCUGCAGAAAGUCGGGGGUCCACCUGAAGCCCCCCCCCCCCCACUGCUGUUCAGAUUAACCUCGGCAACCCGUUCUGCUCCCUCACGUCACCUGAAAGCUCACUGUCCUCUGUCCUCUUUGACCUCGACCCGUCUGGAACGCGGCCUCCCUUUUUUUUUUUUUUUUUUUCUGGAGCGCUUUUAAGACUCGUCGUCAUGGGAGGUCACGGCCAACGACGGCAGCGGCCAAACGGACCCUUGUGAUAUUCACCAGGGAUCCCACUGACGAGCGAGGACGGGGGGGGGAAGACAACAGGACAAUAAGUGAGCAGAGGAAUAAGCGUCCCCGAGGUCCCUGGUCCACGUCCCAGUCGGUCCGUGAGCAGCAGUGAAGGCCCCUCUCACCGCGGGGGUCUGAGGCUGCUGGAGUGGAGCUUGGUCCCGUUGGGGAGCUGCUUCAGGAAAGGCUCCUGGUGGCAGAGCUACAGUGACCAAAGGCUCAGAGCAAAACGAAAGUCACGUUUCAUGGGCAGUGGGUGACAUUCUUUCUUUCGUGUCAUAGUUUGUAUUUGUAGAUCACCACACUUAUACUUACAUAUGAAAUAAUUCAUGUUUCUUUCACAUUGUAAGCCUUUAACCUUAUUAUUUCUGUUUGCUAAUACAGAAUUUCUUAUCAUACCUUAUGUUGUCAUGUUUUUAUUUCUACAUUUACUGGUAAAAAGCAGUUUGUACCAACAGGCAUUUUAAUUUGCAGUAACCAUGGUGAUACCCAUAAUACUCUACCGUGUGAUUAUUGAGAUGUAACCCUCGUGUUGACUCAGUAUCCCUCAGCUGAUGUGUGUCUGGAUGAUGAGGAAUGGCCGCCCUGUUUACCAGGGGAGGGUUUGUUAACUCUACCACUUUGAUACAUCCUGGUCACAUGAUCACCACUUUACACGAACACACACACACACACACAUACGCAAUCUAUUUAACAUUAUAUACAACAUUCAUACUGAUGAUACAAGCAAUACCUCUAGAACUAAAAACAAAUAAAAGAAGGUGAACUUUUGGAGACAGUUUUUUUUUUUUUUUCUUGAACUCUCCUGCAGGUGAUGAAGUAAUAAAUAAAAAAAAUAAAGGAUCUUCGCACUCCCUCUGCAUUACGACCACCAAUCAGCAGCUCAGGCUGCUGCGUCCUUGAGCAAACACUCGCGGCCAGAUGCAUCUCGUCCAGCCGACACAACCGAUGAGCGACGCGUGACUGCAGGAAUGGAGCCCAAACUCAGGUAGGAGGCCUCCUCCGACCGGGUCGGGUCAUCAUCUGGUUCUUUUGGUUGGAUUUUGCGCCAGUCUGAUCUAAGUGUGUGUGUGUGUGGUUUUUUGAUGUUGUUUUUUUUGGUGAUCCAGAUCCGAAAGGACUGAGAGUUUGACGGUUUAGUGUAUUUCUGCGUUGGGGUUUACCUGAUGACCCGUGGAGAUGUGACAUUAGUGGUGAACAGCUGUGUGACUCGCAGGUGGGGAGGGUGAGGACGGGUUCUAGGAGGUUCCCUCAAGUCUUUAUUGACCCUGCAGUGAUGCGUCCAAUGAUAUUCAGCUUGGUCCAACGCGGGGACGGUGUCCCUUCCUUCAGUCAGACACCUGUCAGCAUUCCGAUUUGAAGGGUUUGCUCGUCGACUGAAGGACUUGAAACCCUCCUGGUAUCUGAAAAGAAAAGGAAACCUCUGGAUUGUGCAGGAUGGAUCUCUCAGACAGUCGGGGGUGAGCAGUCUGAGGGGCUUGUGGUUAUUGUCAGUAGUUCUUCCUGUUCUUGUAAAUCUGAGGGGGGGGAAAAGAACAAAUAUCAGAAUUUUUUGCAACAUUUUUAAUGUUUUGAUUAUAAACUUAAGUUAACACGACUUAAUACAAAUGGCAUUAAAAAGGUUUUAUUUAAAUGGAAUCCUUAAGGGAUUUAAACGCAAUGCAGUUUUCCUUUUUGGGGGAAAUUCUGAUGCUUACUGAAUGGUCACAGUUAUAUUUACCAAAUAAAAGGAUCAGAAGGAAACUUCGACACGUGGAGACGUGAAUACUCAGACACUCACAACUCCAAAGACCACAGGAGUUCAAAUUUGAAUUUAGUUAAUGUAAUGUUAUACAAUAGCAGCAAUUCAAAUGAAUGCUUUAAGCUGUAUGAACCUUUAACAAUUAUUCAAAUUGUGUCAAACAGGAUGAUGUCAUCCAUAUGAUUUGUAAUCAAUAUUUCUUUUUUAACUUAGUUGCUUCCGCAGUAAUAAAAUCUAAAGUCCGUUUUUUGAAAAGCUUUGACAAAGCUGAAACCACUUGUAGAUCGUUUUCAUACCAAAUACGAGAAGGUUCUCCUCAAGCACUCGUGACUAAGAGAGUUUCAAAAGUAAGAUGUUUCCCC